rnacentral:lncRNA from 1 species
GUUAUUCUUGGGGUUAAAACAAGUAGUGGUCUUCAAAUUCUUCUUUCCAUAAAAAUUAUGGAUCCUGUUAUUAUGAAGUUCAUGAAAUACAGCAUUUUCCAGCUCAUGUGUACUUUCACAGAAGCCUACGAGAAAGGAUAGGGAAACUUACUUUUGUGUGCAACCGAUCAUAUGCUGAACUGAGAAAGUCCCAAAUGCUUAUGAGACUCUUGCUUCCUAACUCUGUGCUCUUCUGCCAAGAGAUAAAAGCUUGAACUCACCUACAUUUGUGAACAGGGGCAGAGUGGAGGAUGGCAGCCAACGGCGUUAGAUCUGCAAUCACUUUUUACUAUGCCUCCACGCACACUGGCACCUUUCUGCUUUCUCUACUAUGAGCUGGAGUCACCUGAUACCCAGUUCAAUGCUGCUUUUUACUUUUGAGUUGACAGCUCAAAGACAAGAUGGAUGUUGUUCCUUCCACCUCAGGCUAGGAAAUCUGGACUUUCAAUAAAAUCUUUGCAGUCUUCAACAUAUAUUUUGGCAAGUAGUAUAGAAUCCAUAGUUUAGCUAUGGUGUUGCCAUACUAGAUCCUUGGGAUAGGUGUACUGCCAAGACUUCCCAGACAGCAUUUCCCAGAAAUAUCCAGAUCUUUCAGGAUCAGGAACAAAGUACACUUAAACUUUAAAAAUGCUUUAUAGCCCAAACACACACAUAUUUGUAUUCACCCAUGUAAUCGAAAUCAACACUCAUUUAUACUGGUUAGAUCAGAGUUGGUC